AACGUAGGUGGCGAGCGUUAUCCGGAUUCAUUGGGCGUAAAGAGCUUGUAGGUGGCUAUGUAAGUUGGACGUGAAAACUCCGGGCUUAACUUGGAGAGGCCGUUCAAUACUGCGUGGCUAGAGGAUGUCAGAGGGAAGUAGAAUUCCUGGUGUAGCAGUGAAAUGCGUAGAUAUCAGGAGGAAUACCCGUGGCGAAGGCGGCUUCCUGGGACAUAACUGACACUGAGAAGCGAAAGCUAGGGGAGCAAACGGG
rnacentral:rRNA from 1 species